AUGAAAUUUUUAACGAAGAUUUUUUGGAUUCUGAACUACUGUUUUUUUACUAGAUCCUGUUGGACAUGGCAUAUUACAAGUUUCAAAAGGCUCUUUAAAUUAUUGUAGCAGGCUGAAGCUAUUAAAUUGUAAUGUCAGAGCUUUAUAGAUGAAACAGGUGUGGGAGAUCAAGAUUUGGCCACCCUGAAAUCUCUCUCUUUACCUUGGUUGUUUUCUCUAGGGACAUUUGACCUCCCCCACUAACUGCCUAAAGAAUUUGAGACGGUAGCUCCUUCCUGGAACAGAUCUAUCAUGAUGGCUGUAAAGAUAACGUAGGGUAAAUGUUACAACAGGAAAGGCACCAACAAGCCCCUCUUAUCAGAAGUUCUGUCUCUCUGGCCACAUUCUCUGGAUGACCCUGUGAAGAGUUGCCAGACAAUCAUUUACAUUUAUAAGGGAAAUCUCCAUUUGUGAAGGUAUCUCCCUCUCUGUUUGGAGAAGAGAGGGGGAUGAGCUCAUUUCUAGUGACUUAUCACUGUGGAAGGUGAGGCCUUGAGCUACAUAAUAAACCUUACUCUUGUUUACUGUGCUUUAGAGGUAAUCUCCUGUAACUGACUCCCCCCACCCCCAACAUCCUCCUUUGUCGUUGGUUGAACUUGGUAUUUAAGACGAGAAUUUCUGCUAUUGUGUUGAGAAACGCAGUGUCCCUGCUUUCUCCCAUGUAUACAUGUUAUUAAACUUGGUAUUAUUUUCUCCUGCUAACCUGUCUUGUUAAUUAUUUGGCCAGCCAGAAGAACCUUAAGGGAAAGGGCAGAGGGAGAUUCUCCCCCUUCCCCCGACAGUUUUGGCGUAGUCGCCAGGAGCCACACUGGCUGGCAAGUUGCCUUCUCUGGCUGGAAGACCUGCCUUCUCCCUGGACUACUGCAGAUGAUGAGAUCCGGGAACGCCUGAUGAAAGCCGGCAAAAAGGACACAAUUGGAAACACUGGGUCUAUUACCAAGGUUGUGACUGGAACAUCAUAUUUGCAAUAUAACCAUACAGCUUUUGAGGAAUGAAGAUUGGACUUUAUGGAAUAAAGCCACGUGGAAAUAUUGGCCUGGUACCUUUAUGUUCCAAGCAGCACUUACCAGGAUAAGUAAAGAAUGUCACUUAUCUGGCAGGUACAAGGAACCUCGAAAUAUUUUGGGGGAACCUCGGAAGAGAGAAAUUCACCCAAAUCUCUAGGUAUUGCAGGCAAAGUCUGAUGACAAAAUCCUUGGCUUGGCUUUCCUGGCCUCGAGAGGCUUUUGAAGUUCAACCUGAGAUUCCUUAUAAAAAGUUCCAGCAAAGCAGACUUAAAAGAGCCUAUGUAAUCAAUUGCUAUUCUUGCCGUACUUAUGUAAAUAAUUGGGCCAACUCUAUUAGAACUAGACUUAUUUAGCAAACUAGUUAGUUUUAAUUUGGCUAUCUUAACGAAAAUGAGGGUGAUUUUAGAGAGAAAAAAAUUAUAUUUCAGUAAAAACUAUUUCAGUAUAAAUUUGCGGAUAUUAGAUCCUAGUUUUGUUAAUUGUCUUUUGAGGUUUUGUUUUAUAUCUGUUGACGGGACUGGAUCCUGAUUUCUUCUAGUCUCCUAAAAUAUCUGGCUACAGAUGUCCAAACUAACGUUUUUGAUUUUUUCCAUCAUUUUCAUUUGAAAUCACUGAAAACUGAAUCUGCCCUUUUGCCUGAAGCCUUACAAACUGAAGCUGAUGGACUUGAUACAAACUUAAGAGAUUACUUGAUGACAUCAUCAGAGACAUUUUAAACUGCAAAAGAUGCUUUGACGCUGACAUCUAAAAUUCUUCACUGGCUGUCCUCUGAACUCAAAAACUGCUUUACAACUUGCUCUAACCAUUAACCUUGUUUUUCUUUUGUUUACAUAGAAAUGCUUCUAUUAAAUACUUGAUUGCUUGCUUCCAUAAUAUAGGCGUAACCUUGAGAGCCCA